GAGACGUUGGGCGGAGCCUGAUCAGCCAUGCCGCGUGUGUGAAGAAGGCCUUAUGGUUGUAAAGCACUUUAAGCGAGGAGGAGGCUACUUUAGUUAAUACCUAGAGAUAGUGGACGUAACUCGCAGAAUAAGCACCGGCUAACUCUGUGCCAGCAGCCGCGGUAAUACAGAGGGUGCAAGCGUUAAUCGGAUUUACUGGGCGUAAAGCGCGCGUAGGCGGCUAAUUAAGUCAAAUGUGAAAUCCCCGAGCUUAACUUGGGAAUUGCAUUCGAUACUGGUUAGCUAGAGUGUGGGAGAGGAUGGUAGAAUUCCAGGUGUAGCGGUGAAAUGCGUAGAGAUCUGGAGGAAUACCGAUGGCGAAGGCAGCCAUCUGGCCUAACACUGACGCUGAGGUGCGAAAGCAUGGGGAGCAAACAGGAUUAGAUACCCUGGUAGUCCAUGCCGUAAACGAUGUCUACUAGCCGUGGGGGCCUUUGAGGCUUUAGUGGCGCAGCUAACGCGAUAAGUAGACCGCCUGGGGGAGGACGGGCGCAAAGACUAAAACUCAAAGGAAUUUGACCGCGGGGCGGGGGCGGCGGGAC
rnacentral:rRNA from 1 species